UGCAUUUUUUUGCCCAAAUAUAUGUAGGCAUAUACAUAUAUAUACAAAUGUAUAAUAUAAAUGCAAGUUAUACUACUUCAAAUGGCAAGAGUAAAACCAACCACUUCUGAAGAAGCAAGAGUAUCUUCUUCAGCAGUGAGAGCCUUAAGCCCUUUUAAAUGAAGUUACGAGAGGAUCCUGGUGUACAAGAAACAAACAUUUAAAUAAGUCAUGAUAAACAAGCACACUGAAGUUUCCCUGACCCACUCACUACUUCCACAAGGGGGCACCAAUGCCAGCUGAAGUCAGGAACAGGAAGGAGACUACAUAAGCUAUAAAUAGCCAUCAUUCAGUUCAGUGAGAGGCUGGCCUCUGCCCACGGACUGUCCUGUGGGAAAGAAGUUAGAACUUUAUGCUCUCCCACUAGCAAGCUCAUUAGAAUUGGUUCCCCCACAGUGAGUGUUCUUUUUCGCCUCUGCUGGGAACAUUACCCCGUCCAGUUCUUACUUGAACCUACAACAUAGCUCAGUGGUCCCCUCUCCUUCUAAUCCUUCUCUGAUCCUCCGUCCCACCUGGCAGAAGAUGCCUGCCUCUCUUCUCGGUUUCUCUAAAGCCCAAUGCUUAGCACUACCAUGACACCUGUGGUAUUUCGUUCUGGCCAACCUUAACGUGUUGGUUUCCCCCAACUAAACUGCGAACUGCAUGAGAACAAGCCCUCUGCCAUUCAUUUUUUCUCACUCCUACCACUAUGUUCAGUAUACAGUCAGUGCUCAACAAGAGUCUGCAGAAAUCUCAGUUCUUUUUUACAGAGAUAAAUGAUGCCUCCAACUGCCACCAGCAGGACUAAGAUAUAAUACGCGGCUAUGAAGAUAUAAAGAGAAAAAGGAAGGGCAAAGAGAGAAAGAUGAGAAUGCUGAGGCACAGGAAGGUUCGGUAACUUGCCCAAGGCCACACGGCUAGUGUGUGACAGAACUGAGAUUCCAAUGCAGAACUUGUGCUUUUAACUAUCACUCUGCUCACGUGGCGGUGCAGAGGCAAAGGCUGAGAGGGUACAAUGACGUGCCCCAGUCACACAGUCUCCAGCCACAGAGUCGGGACCGAGAGCGGCCCUGCGUGCCUCUGCUUCCAGCCACUCUUCUCAGGCCUGCAGCCUCCCGCAGCCCGGAAACACCACCGCACGCCCUCAGGUGCCCAAAUCUGCAUUCCCAGCUGUCACGGUCCUCUGUUGUUCCAGACCUACAGCUCCCACUGCGUGUUGCCACCUAGACCUCCGGUGUAGAAAUUAACAGGCUUAAAACACCGAUGCCAGACAUUUCUUCCAUUUAAAGGGAGAAGAGACACCCGUAAGUGAGUAACGGUUAUGUGAUAUGGAAAGCGCUGUGGUGGAGGGGUUUGUAAAAGGCAUGAGCACGUGCCAGUCCUAACUGACGAGGGCACGUACGUCUUGGCGAUGGCAGAAGCAAAAGGCCUGGGAGGUGAAUAGAGAAAUCUAAUGAGGUGGACAUCGCAGCAAAGGGAACAGCAGACGCACAAGUAGGAAGGGAUGCACAAGAAAACCUUCGAAACAGACAAGCACCUGUGGCCAGGACUCUGGCCAGGCCACAAGGCAAGGACAGGAGAGAGCCGUGGGGGCCGCAUUCUGCUCCACUGUCCAAACUACAGGGAGAAAACCCCCCAAGGGCACAGUGAGCUGCGUGAAUGGGGAAGGAAGAGAAACUGAGUCUUGGGACCUGCUGAGAAAGAAGAGAAGGCCCAGAGCUCACUCGGGUCCAGGCAGUUUCUCAACGGAAGGGCCAUGGGACUUGGGGACGCCAGUUAGAAUCUUGGAGUGUAACUCACACUUUCGUUCACAAGGUAUACAAAAUAUUCCGGCCACUCACCCCUGGUUUCGUUUUUAACCCACACAUUGAUGGAAUCACAGGCAGCGGCGGGGUCCUCAAAGUUCACGUUGCGGACUUCGCACUGAAAUACGUCUUUGUUCCUCGUCACGAAAGGCGCUUCCAUUUUAAAGCCAUUCUUGACAAACACGGCGUUCGCCACUGUCACGAUAUCUUUGUUCUUCUUGGAGACGAUGGCCUUGUUGAUCUUCUUUAACACUUUACCGACUCCUAAAGGGGA